CUCGGAGUUUGAUCCUGGCUCAGAACGAACGCUGGCGGCAUGCUUUACACAUGCAAGUCGAACGGUAGAGGGGGCAACCCCUCGAGAGUGGCGAACGGGUGAGUAAUAUAUCGGAACGUGCCCAGUCGUGGGGGAUAACGUAGUGAAAAUUACGCUAAUACCGCAUACGAUCUAAGGAUGAAAGCGGGGGAUCGCAAGACCUCGCGCGAUUGGAGCGGCCGAUAUCAGAUUAGGUAGUUGGUGGGGUAAAGGCUCACCAAGCCAACGAUCUGUAGCUGGUCUGAGAGGACGACCAGCCACACUGGAACUGAGACACGGUCCAGACUCCUACGGGAGCAGCAGUGGGGAAUUUGGACAAUGGACGUAAGUCUGAUCCAGCCAUUCCCGCGUGCAGGAUGACUGGCCCCUC
rnacentral:rRNA from 1 species